rnacentral:rRNA from 1 species
GACAGAGGCCUCGAGCGUUAGGCGGAAUCACUGGGCUUAAAGCGUGUGUAGGCGGAUGCCUAAGUACCUUGUGAAAUCCCACGGCUCACCCGUGGAACCGCUGGGUAUACUGGGCGUCUUGGGCCAUUCAGGGGCGACUGGAACAAGCGGUGGAGCGGUGAAAUGCGUAGAUAUCGCUUGGAACGCCGACGGUGAAAACAGGUCGCUGGGAAUGUGCCGACGUGAGACACGAAAGCCAGGGGGAGCAAACGGG